rnacentral:rRNA from 1 species
AUUGAACGCUGGCGGAAUGCUUUACACAUGCAAGUCGAACGGCAGCACGGACUUCGGUCUGGUGGCGAGUGGCGAACGGGUGAGUAAUGUAUCGGAACGUGCCCAGUCGUGGGGGAUAACGUAGUGAAAAUUACGCUAAUACCGCAUACGAUCUAUGGAUGAAAGCGGGGGAUCGCAAGACCUCGCGCGAUUGGAGCGGCCGAUAACAGAUUAGGUAGUUGGGGGGGUAAAGGCCCACCAAGCCAACGAUCUGUAGCUGGUCUGAGAGGACGACCAGCCACACUGGAACUGAGACACGGUCCAGACUCCUACGGGAGGCAGCAGUGGGGAAUUUUGGACAAUGGGCGAAAGCCUGAUCCAGCCAUUCCGCGUGCAGGAUGAAGGCCCUCGGGUUGUAAACUGCUUUUGUACAGAACGAAAAGGUCUCUACUAAUACUAGGAGCUCAUGACGGUACUGUAAGAAUAAGCACCGGCUAACUACGUGCCAGCAGCCGCCGUAA